rnacentral:rRNA from 1 species
CACGUAGGCACCAAGCGUUGUCCGGAUUUAUUGGGCGUAAAGAGCUCGUAGGCGGUUCAGUAAGUCGGGUGUGAAAACUCUGGGCUCAACCCAGAGACGCCACCCGAUACUGCUGUGACUUGAGUACGGUAGGGGAGUGGGGAAUUCCUGGUGUAGCGGUGAAAUGCGCAGAUAUCAGGAGGAACACCAAUGGCGAAGGCGCCACUCUGGGCCGUAACUGACGCUGAGGAGCGAAAGCGUGGGUAGCAAACAGG